AGCCGUCAAACAUUAUUCAAGCCGAGGGGUUAUCCUUUUACCACCUCAAUCAUAGACAUAGUACACAUUCAAGUAUGGGAUACAACUAGGUUCGGGUCACCUACACCUAGCCCGAUCAUUCAUCCAGUGCCAUUUAAGUCCCGUGUGAUCUGUACACCUUCCAGGUAAGCAUACAUGAACAAGUCAUGUAUCGUCCCGCUUACCCUUGGCUCAGCUCUCCUGCGCUGGCACAACCUGUCAAUACAGGUGCGGCUAUCUAAAUACAUCUAUUACUAGCUAAUUGAUGAGGGGCUGUUAGACA